rnacentral:rRNA from 1 species
GACGAACCGAGCGAACGUUGUUCGGAAUCACUGGGCUUAAAGGGCGCGUAGGCGGGGUGCUCAAGUCCGUGGUGAAAUCCUCCGGCUCAACCGGAGAACUGCCUCGGAUACUGGGUGCCUCGAGGGUGGUAGGGGUAUGCGGAACUAUCGGUGGAGCGGUGAAAAUGCGUUGAUAUCGAUAGGAACUCCGGUGGCGAAGGCGGCAUACUGGACCACAUCUGACGCUGAGGCGCGAAAGCCAGGGGAGCAAACAGG